CAAUAGCCGCAUGCACACAUAGCUGCCUCGCGUUGCUCCACUUCUUCUCCAAGCCUCGCCCACACUCUUCUCCCUCCGGGUGCAACGGGAGCUCAUCUCCGGCGGAUCUUGAGCUGGAUCACCUUGCCAUCUAUAAAUAGAGGCACACCGAGCCGUUUUGACCAUCCGUACCACUUGAUCUAGCCAUAAAUCGAUCACCGUAGCUCACGGCAAGGGGGAGGGUCUCCAGCCUCUGAUCCUCGCCGACGUUGUCAGUGGAUCCCCCUCGACGGUCCACUCGCUCUGGUGCCCCUCGUCUUUGCCCUCCUCAUCAGGCGUGCUCGUGGUGAACUCCUAAGCAUGACAAUGCCACUAGUUCAUUAGAUUGGCACCAUCUUAUUCAACUCCGACAAGCUCUGCCGCCCGUCAUCUCUCGAGAGGAUCAUUCUGACACUCUCUGUCCACCUUAAUCAUUGCAUCAGGUACUUACACAAUCGCAAGGACAUGUUGGACCCAUUCCCCCUCUCUCUGACAAUCACUGUGGUCUCCUUGUCGUAGAACAACCAACGAUAGAGCCGUCGUGCUCUGCCUCCCCCUCUCUCUCUUUAACCCUGACGGGUGGGACCCCGUGUCAGUCUCUCUCUCUCCCUCUCCCCCUCUCUCUAUCUCUAUCUCUCGCCUAAAGCGAUAUAACGGGAGGCACCCGCUGAAAAUCCGCUUUUAACGUGGCCGCCUCUGGAUUUUUCUGUUUUUAGUUAAAAUUCAUAAUUUUGACGACUUUGACCAACUUUAUCUUUAAAACCAUAAGUCCAAAUGAUUUGAAACUUUUCAGAUUAGUUUUGUCUUGAGCUAAACUUUCUAGCUGCAAGGUUUGAGAAUUUUCCUCACCGAUUAGAAUUUCUGGUGUAAUAAAAUGCUUUAUGUGACAUUUUAUUUUUGCAUUUAUACUAUUUUUCAGAAGAAACUAGUUUCCUUGGAGAGGACCAUGAGUAGUGUGACACUCCUGUGAACUAAGGCAAGCCACACCAUUCAAUUGCAAGGGUGACAUUGCAAUGACAAUGGUUCAUUUUAAUUUAAAAUCAUUUCUUAUACGUAGUUAUUAAAUAGCUCAUUCUAUUAUAUUAGGUGGAAUCCAUGCAUUUUAUGUCAUAUUUGUAUGCUAGUCAUAUGGAGUUCAUGAUCCAUGCCAUGAUUAAAUUG
rnacentral:lncRNA from 1 species